rnacentral:lncRNA from 12 species
UCUUCUAGAGAACCACUAAAUGGGUCAGCCGAUGAGGAGUUCUCUGGAAAUGGGACUUUGUUUUGUUUUUAUUUUUGGUUUCAAAUAUUUUAUUUAUUGACUUGAGAGAGAAGGAGCAUGGGCUGGGGAAAUAGGGAGAUGGGGAGAGAGAAGCAGACUCCCCAUUGAGCAGGGACUUGAUGCAAGGCUCCAUCCCAGGACCCUGGGAUUAUGACCUGAGCCAAAGGCAGAUGCUUAACCCGCUGAGCCACUCAGACAUCCCUGGGACUCUGAAGCUCUGAAGGAGCUUCAACUGUGUGCUGCUUCUUCCAGGGGCUGCCAGACUGCUGGUUUUCACUGUGACUAUGGGCUGUUAAUAUUCAAGGCUACCAUGGAGCUAAAGAGUAAAGAUAAGAAUAGGGCAAAGUAAAAUGUCACAAAACUCACUGUUCUUACCGUGAUUCUGAUCUUUUUCUUGAAUGAACUUUUCCCAAAGUGCUGAAGCCUUUAGUUAAUUUCCAAAGUUAUGAAAAAGUUGAUUCUUACCAUUUUUCUCCUCAGUUUUCUCAUUGCUUUCAUGGAAGAGAAAAUUUUCAGAAGCUCUUGCUUUGCUGCCUUGCCGAUGUCACCUGAUGAGAGACCUUUUGAAGAGAAGAGCAAAAAGAGCGUACCUACUAACAGCCAAGUCUAAAGUCAAACCGAGAAAAUGUGUAUGCUCCAUGAAGCUCUCAGGUAUCAACUUAAAAAUGCCCGCUGACAGCAGCCUGGGUUAACUCCAAGAGCCUAACCAUUUCUGGCAACUGGAUUUCAAAAGGGAGAAGAGACGUGAGAAGGAAGUCCUUCAGAAUAGAUUAUGGCUGAUAUCCUUGCCGGGGAAGAGGAAGGUCAUUGACUCACUGUUUGUGCACUUGUAGAGAGAAUAGCAUCCGUGACGUCUUGAGUAUUUGGAGAAUGCUUUACAAGCAUUUGGGAAACAUAAAUAGAGAAAAAAGAACUUCAAAGCCUGAUCAGAGUUUGUAUGGCAUCAUUAGACAAAUACAUGGGUCAUAAGGUGUUUCCUUCUACUUCCUAUAUAUAUGCUUAAUAAAAACUGCAUGAGGAAACUACUUGCCCUUGUA